rnacentral:lncRNA from 1 species
CCAAGCUCUACCUCAUGUUUGGCUCUGGGUCUCUGCAUCUGCUCCCAUCAGCUACCGGAUGAAGCCCCUCUGCUACAUCAUAGAACUUCUGUGGCAGACUUCAAGGCAAAGCUUUGGAAAGAACCCAAACUUCCAUUCAUUGGCAUUUCUAGGAAAACUCGGGAAUUCAGGAAAUAACCAAGCAGCCUUCAUCAUAGGCCACAGUCACUAGGCAGAGUCAACACCUACACUGAGUCUGUUGAGUUACUGGGAUUAAUCAGAUUCAGAUGGCCACCAAAGUGGAUUUUGGGUAUGUUCCCAGGGAAAAGCUGAGAUAGCUGAGAGAUGGAUGUGUCGACUGAUAACGCUGACAGAGGGCAGACCUGGAGGGCACAUGGACUCGGAACGCACACGCUCUUUUUUCCAACGUGGAUCUAGACAGAUGACAUUGCAAACAUUACUCAGAGCCUGCAACAUUGAGGUUUCUGGAAGCCUGGCUGAAACCCGGCUGUGCGUGUUGCCAAUAUGUCCCUAAAUGGUGCUAUUUGGUUUGUCUGUGAAGGACAUUUUAAAGGAAAAAGAGGCUAGUACACGCUUCCUCCAGAAGUGAUGGGGACCACAGAAUCAAGAGAUGGACAUAUUUUCUGAACUCUUGAUUCCUGAUUUGAUGAUGUUCGCUCCACACAAUUAAAGUCUAUGGAAGAAUGUAAAAAUAAAACGGCUGUAUUAUUCUGCAAGCUUUAAGACCCUGCUUUCCCAACUUUUUUUUUUUUUGUCAUCUCCAGAUAACCG